rnacentral:rRNA from 1 species
UACGGAGGAGGCUAGCGUUGUUCGGAAUUACUGGGCGUAAAGCGCGCGUAGGCGGUCUUUGUAAGUUAGAGGUGAAAGCCCGGGGCUCAACCCCGGAACUGCCUUUAAAACUGCAUCGCUUGAAUCCGGGAGAGGUGAGUGGGAAUUCCGGAGUGUAGAGGUGAAAAUUCGUAGAUAUUCGGAAGAACACCAGUGGCGAAGGCGGCUCACUGGACCGGUAUUGACGCUGAGGCGCGGAAAAGCCAGGGGAGCCAAAGCGGGGAU